GUAGGUGAACCUGCGGAAGGAUCAUUAUUGAAUAACUUUGGUGUUGGUUGUCGCUGGCUCCUAGGAGCAUGUGCACGCCCACCAUCUUUAUCUUUCCACCUGUGCACCAAAUGUAGAUCUGGAUAACCCUCGCUUUCACAAGCGGACUCGAGGAUUGCUGCGUCUAACGGCCAGCUCUCCUUGAAUUUCCAGGUCUACGUAUUUUUACACACCCCAAUUGAAUGAUAACGAAUGUAGUCAAUGGGCUUCG
rnacentral:misc_RNA from 1 species